rnacentral:rRNA from 1 species
AACGAACGCUGGCGGCAUGCCUAACACAUGCAAGUCGAACGAGAGCAUCGGGACUGGUUGCGCACGCGGGCGGCGAGCGUGGGAACCGGCCCGUAGGCACGGGAUAACACUCCGAAGGGGGUGAUAAUGCCGGGAAACGUACGCUGACCAAAGAUUUAUCGCCUUUGGAUGAGCAGGCGUUGGAUUAGCUAGUUGGUAGGGUAAGAGCCGAUCAAGGCUACGAUCGUUAGCUGGUCUGAGAGGAUGAUCAGCCACACUGGGACUGAGACACGGCCCAGACUCCUACGGGAGGAAGCAGUGGGGAAUAUUGGACAAUGGGCGAAAGCCUGAUCCAGCAAUGCCGCGUGAGUGAUGAAGGCCUUAGGGUUGUAAAGCUCUUUUACCCGGGAUGAUAAUGACAGUACCGGGAGAAUAAGCUCCGGCUAACUCCGUG